AUUCAACUGACGAGUCCCAAACGGGACGAAACGCGAGUCCUGGAU
rfam:Schistosoma haematobium scaffold5361_1, whole genome shotgun sequence.